rnacentral:rRNA from 1 species
AGAAUCAACGCUGGCGGCGUGCCUAACACAUGCAAGUCGAACGCGGUUACGUCUGUUUCGCAAGAAACAGGCGUAACUGAGUGGCGAACGGGUGAGUAACACGUGGGUGAUCUACCUUCGAGUGGGGGAUAACGUUCCGAAAGGAACGCUAAUACCGCAUGACGUUCUGGGUUUGAAGACCUGGAAACCAAAGCCGGGGACCGCAAGGCCUGGCGCUUGAAGAGGAGCCCGCGUCCGAUUAGCUAGUUGGCGGGUAACGGCCCACCAAGGCGACGAUCGGU